rnacentral:rRNA from 1 species
CUGAGAGGAGAAGUGGAUUGCCCCAAAUUGAUGGAAUUACUGAUUGCAACUUUCUGCAAAACCAGGCAAUGGCCUUGGCAAAUCAGAGGAUUAUCUCAUAAGACCUUUUUGGUUAGGUUUCCCCCCUGGAAGAAAGUGGAAGAUCUCAUUGAGCUACCUGGGUUCUCCCUGCCUCAAGAUGUUAAUGUCACACUGACUGAGUGGAAAGGAGGAUGGGAGCCUUUUGGUGAAUUGAUUGAAGCUUGGGUCCUAGUUGAGGGCAUCCCUCCUAAAUGGUGUACUUCAAAAGUUUUUGCUCAGGUUGCUUCUCUCUUUGGGGCUCUGACUGAUGUUGAUUGGAAUGGCAUGUUUAGGACCUUCUUUGAAAAUGUCAGAAUUAAGAUUGCUUGCAGAGAUCCAACUAAGAUUCCUUUUGAGAGGCUGAUUGAGAUGAAAAAGAAAUUUUUCCUGCUAGGUUUUACUGUUGAGGGAUUUGAGCAGGUGGGUGGGAUAGACUCUGUCAUUGAUAUUGAUGAUGAUGAGGAUGGUAAUGAAGAGGGAGGAGAAGCUGAAGAGGAUCAAACAGGAGAGGGCAAGGAGACUCAUGAAGAACAUAAUGCCGAUGGAUCAGAGGAUGGAGGAUUAGCCAUUGAUGAACUGGACAAAGCCAACUUCUCAUCCAAACAUGGGACUGCCAGCAAACAGGUAGCGAAAAAUUGGGUGUUCUCACCAAUGGAACCUUACCUUGACUCUGAUCAGGAAAGCUUUAUCCUGGCAUGUGCUUUGGCCAAAACUGACAAAACUUCCACAUCUUCUGCUGCUGCUGGGGAGCUGUGUGGCCAAAACAAACACCUAAUGGUGAGGCAAAACAGUAUUGAUCUGCAUGUUGAUAAGGAUGAUUCAGUUGUAGGUGAGACUGGGAUCCAAAAAACUCCUGCUACUAUCUGGAAAAAAAGGAUUGCAACAACAGAUGGGGAGAAAUCUGAUAAUAUGGACUAUUGUCAGGAUCUACUUAAAUCUGUGGACUUAUCUGAGUCUGAAAAUGAGGAGCUGAUAGAGGAAGAUCUGAGGGUUCUCCCCCCUAAGGCCAUCCAUAUCCCGUAG